GCCUUAGCCGCGGUUAGAGCGGUGAACGCCGAGUCGCCACCUCUGAGGACGGCUCGGCCGGCUAGUCCAGAGCGGGAACGCAUGCGGCCGCGUUCUGCUUCCUAACUUCAGGAGCAGCGGAGAUUUUUGUUUCUUUUCCUACCACUCGCGGUGCACCACAGCCAGCCGGUAAACAAAAGCUGUUCCCGGGGAACGGAACGCCAAAGUGCAGACCCCGCGGGCAGCAAGGAGGAGAGACCCCAGGCUGAUACUGGGGCUCGGGACGCUUGUCGCGCUCGCCGCGGACCAGGCCUCAGCAUCGUCAGAGGCCGGCGGUCCUGGACCUGCACCCCUUCUCGGUCCGUCAAUUUGCGCCCCACUCCGGCCGAGCUGUCGCUGGCGUCGGGCUCCUCCGGGCUUGUGUGGAUGCUUCGUACCCGUAUUGCAGGAGGCAGAACUUCUUGAUAGCAUUCAGAUACUCGUUGAUUUGGCAUCUUGCUUGAGUUGGCUGAGUUCGAGAAUAUAGAAGGUGAACCCUAAAGAGGAGUACAUUGACCUACACAAGCUUAUCUGUGAACACUAGACCAGGUUCAGAUCCCAGUUCUUGUGGUCUCCGUUCAUCACGUUUUCUGCUACAAUGAGCUGCCUCCAGGUGACCGUGCUUAAAGUUCUCUUCUGUGCCCCAAAAUACCACAUCUCGACUAUUCAGUCAAUAGUAAUGGAGGCUUUGUACUGAUGGUGGAGCAGCUGCGAAAGCAGCAUGGAGUAGAAGCAGCACCUGGUGGAAGCUCACAAGGUUGGAUUUGUUUCUGAACAGGUGUGGGACUCCUCAUGGGGAUGCAGGUUGGAGUUUCUGCAUGCAUCCGAAGGCCUAGGCCAGGCCCAUUUGAGUUCUAAGGAAACCCUUGAUUUAACCAAGAAUGUUCUCCCACGCAUUGAAUAGAAAGCUAAAAGAGGUGGAUUAAAGGUAUAUAUGCCCCAGGUCCAUGAAAUCUUCUGCUCAGAGGGAAUUGUGAUAUAACGAACAAUAAAGAACCAUCAAUUCAUUUUAACAGUAUAUCAACAUAAGAAAAACAAGAUUUUUUUUUUUUACUUUUUUACAAUUUUACUGAGGUAUAAUAGAAGUACAACAAACUUACAUAUUUAAAGUUUAAACUACUAUUUAGUUUUAUUUCUGGGGGCUUUGUUUUCGUUUUUUGUUUUGUUUUUUGAAACAAGGUCAUGCUAUAUAUUCUAGGGUGGCCUUGGACACGUCGUGAUCCUCCUGUCCCAGCCUCCCCAGGGCUGGGAUUACGGGUGGGCGCCAUCACACUCAGUCAUUUUAAUAUACGUCUAUAUCAUGAAACCACAAUUAAGGUAAGAAAUACUUCCAUCCACCCGCACGUUUCCUAGUGCCUUUUUUAAUUUUCAUUUUUGUUAUUACGUUUUGGCAGCACAUUAGGAUUGCAUUCAUGGUGGGGAGUUGGAGCAUGUACAGAACACAUCUUAAUUCUUUUUAUUUUCUGUUUCACCUCCCUCCAUCCUAGUGCCUUCUGCAAUCCAUCCCUCCUUAAUGUCAUCACCAGACAACUACUAAUGUGCUGUCACUAUAAAUUAUGUCACCCCAGUUUUUCUCCAGUUACAUGUAGUCAUGCACCACAUAAUGACAUUUCAGUCAACAGUGGACCACAUAUAUGAUGGUUUUCCAGGAAGGUUAUAAUGGAGCUGGGCUUGGUGGCACAUACCUGUGAUCCCAGCAUUUGGAAGGCUGAGGUUGAGUAUCA